CCAAUAGCGUAUAUUAAAGUUGUUGCAGUUAAAAAGCUCGUAGUUGAAUUUCGGGAUCGACGGGUCGGUCGCGCCUCUGGUGUGUACUGGCCCUGUCGGUUUCUCCCUUCUGACGAACCACGAUGUCAUUAAUUUGGUGUCGUGGGGAAUCAGGACUGUUACUUUGAAAAAAUUAGAGUGUUUAAAGCAAGCAUUCGCUUGAAUACAUUAGCAUGGAAUAAUGAAAUAGGACGUUUGAUCUUAUUUUGUUGGUUUCUAAGAUCGACGUAAUGAUUAAUAGGGAUAGUUGGGGGCAUUAGU
rnacentral:rRNA from 1 species